rnacentral:sRNA from 1 species
UACGACAUUUAAGUUAAUGUGUUAUGAGUAGCGUUAUCCUUGAUAGCCUUUCGACCGUUUCUUGCUGAGUGCUUCCAUGAAUUAAAUAGUGAUGUAGGCUUUUGUAUACCUGCCGAAAGCGGCAAUGUUUAUUAGUUAUAUAGGAAAAGACACAUGUCUGACAAAAUAAAGGGUCAAGUGAAGUGGUUUAACGAAUCUAAAGGCUUUGGUUUCAUCACUCCUUCUGAUGGCAGCAAGGAUGUAUUCGUUCACUUCUCUGCCAUUCAAGGAAAUGGAUUCAAAACCCUGGCUGAAGGGCAAAAUGUAGAAUUUACUAUUGAAGAUGGUUCGAAAGGCCCAUCUGCAGCGAAUGUAACUGCUCUUUAAGAUUAGUUAAAUAAAUGGAUUUCUUGAAGCCUGUUGUGCAAGCGGCAGGCUUCUUU